AUUUUACAGAUGAGGAAACCGAGGACCUUAGAGCUCAGUUAGUGGGGAGCAAGUCAGAGCACGGGCCCCGUGCUCUUAACCACAGGGCUUUACAGGCACAGGUGGACAUCCAGGCUGAGGACAGCAGACCUUCUGGAACCAGAAGAGAAAGGAAUGGCCACGACCUUGGCAGAGGUGCAGCGGGGGAGAGACUGAGGUAUUCGGUAACUGCUGCUCAGCAAGACUCCAAUCUUCGCGUGGAGGACGUGGCCCAGUUCAGCCUGUGGCAAUGACUGGAGGAGCUCACGGACCCCACAAGCAGAUUGACUUUUCCGCAAGUCAGCCGUUCUGGAAGCAGGAGGGCUCCCUUGGGGGCUGUCCGCCCCCUCCCCAGAGUAGGGGGAGAGCCCCACAACCAAGGGAACGAGAGAAGCACAUAGCGAGUCUGGCCUGCUUCCAGCUGGAAGGAUGGCGGAGACAGGGUCGAUUCCACCACAGGUUAUGUGUUCUCUGUGGAAAACAAAGAAAAGCACCCCAAAGGAAAACUCCCCAUGCUCCCAUCUGUUGGAAAUAACCAAAGCUGUGACCUCCCCAGGUUGUACCUUCCCCAGAGAAGCAUGUGCUCAGCAAGGAGCCGAAAAAGAAUACAGAGUCAUCGUUUAUAUAUCAGCACGAGAAUCAUUUCACAGCCACGACUCAGAACCAUCUGUACUAAGGGAACUGACCUUUGUAGAAGAAUCUGCCAACGAUUAAUCUAGAAAUCAUUCAU